CCGGUCGGCAGUACUGCACUGUUCGUAGCAAUUAUUGCAUAAAACGUGUAGGCA
rnacentral:lncRNA from 1 species